rnacentral:misc_RNA from 1 species
AAGUCUCGGACGAAGUCUAAGAAAGCCGGAGUUUGCUGUCAAUUUUUCACCGUUAUAUGAGCCCCAGGAAAGGAGAAAAAUGAUUCACUUUCUGUACACAUAUAUGGAUAAUGAAGAUGAACAGAAUUCAACAGCCAACAAAGCUAGUCCUUCGGUAAACAGGGAAAAUCACUCGGAUAAUGAACACAACGAUGAGAACAUAAAGAGGCAGCGAACGGAAAGUGCAAGUUUUGAAGGAAUACCGUCAACUCCCCCAAAAUUCCUAUCUCUCGAGGAGAUAACCAGAGCUGCAAGAGGGAUGACGAACAUGGCCCUAGCCCACGAAAUAGUUCUGGAUAAGAACUUCAAGCUGCAACAAUUGGACACCAGGACCUCGGUUCUUCAGAAACAAGUGAAGGAAAUAAUGCACCAAGCCUUUUGGGAUAUUCUGGCGGAACAAUUAGCAGAAACUCCUCCUAAUUACAGCCAAGCGUUAAUCCUGCUGAAGGAUAUUAUCGAUUCUUUGGACGAAUUGGUGCUGCCACAUCACAAGAAAAUUCGUCAGAAUAUGAAGGAAGUCCUGGACGUAAAAUUGAUUAAGCAGCAAGCAGAGCAGGGCACUCUGGAUUUCCACAGUUACGCAAACUUUGUGAUCUCGAUUAUGAGCAAAGUGUGUGCUCCGGUGAGGGACGAGAAAUUGUUGGAACUGAAACGAAAGACCAAUGUAAUCGACACGUUUAAAGGCAUCAUGGAGGCUCUACAACUUAUGCGAAUGGACCUGGCGAAUUUCACUAUAACCCUGAUGAGGCCUAGCAUAGUAGCGUCCAGUAUCGAAUACGAGAGAGACAAAUUCAAGGAGUUUCUGGCUCUGCAGACCGAUGGACUACAUCUUACUCGGAAGUGGUUGCUGAAGCAUCUGGACCCUGAGAAAAUAGCUUCGGUCUCUGCCUCGGAUGUCAAUGCCAUCAAGCAGAUCACUCAUUGCCUUUUAGCGGAGGCUUACUUGGAUCUGCUCGAGUGGGACUUCACUCCUGAUGCAGAGACUCUCAUGUUGGAUCAAGGUAGACUCAUGGAACUACGAGACAAAACCUGCAGGGCAUGCAUCAUUGGCUCGAUCCUCCUAUUGUGUGCUCCUGUGCUCAGCGUGACAAGCUUCAAAAAAUCGUUGAAGGAGCAUGUGGCUAUCUUGUUGGAGCCGGUGCAUUCUAAUAGAGAUCUAGAAACGGUUAUGCAGAACGUCGUAUUACAGGUAAAGUCUGACAUCAAGACGAUGGUGCCUGCCGAAUACAAGACUCCCGAACUGUUGGAAAAUUUGGAAACUCUGAUCGAGGGCCAGAUGUUGGAUCUGAAAGACCCAAAUCACAAGCUGCGCCGUAUACUCAGCUCCAGGAUCAGACAGUUCUUGCAGAAAAUCAUUCUCUCUCAGUCGGCAGCUCCACAAGAGAUACCUACAGGGCUAUCGGCAAUGCAGGAGGAACUUGCUGCAAUUGCUGCGCAAUUUCUCAUACUGGUGUCGCACAAUCGCAGUGUGUUCGAUGAGUACUAUCAAGAGAUUGUAGCCAACGCUAUUGCCAAUGGAGAUACCGGUCCAUCCAAUGCAGACGUUGCCUAAAAUAAGAAAGUUUAAAACUUUCGAGAUUUUGUAAGAAUGCUAUUAUUCACAAACUAGGAUUUGUCGCGAGUGACGGCGCAAACAAUAAUGUGCAUAAUAAUUUGACAGUACUCGGUGCUGCCAUGAAAUCAGUACUACGCACACUGACCAACUCUCGAGCUAGUACAAAAGACCGUACCGAAACUCUUGGUAUCCUUCAAAGACAAUAGUUUGACGCUAUGAAUUUCCACAGCAGUGUAAAAAAAAAAAGGAGCCUCAAAGAGUGAAUAUACAUGGUGACUGCGAUGUUCUCAAUUAAUAAGGAAGCAAGAAAUAAUAUUUUCCCUGCUCGAUGUGCAACCUUCCUGUGAAGUUGAACACUGCGGAAAGUAACUACGGGACCCUACCAUGAAAACAGAACAGUACAGCUGAUCGACACAAGUUACACAAAAUGAUCUCUUCGUAAACUACAUGAAGCUUCAUCGAUUCCCCUCGUGAGACUUCCGGAACGUUUCAAUCAUGGGGUUCAGAAAUACGUGCGACUAGUGUUCCGGACCUUCAUUUUUACAUUUUAUGUAUUUUCUUUUUUAUAGACUUGGUUUUUUUCUAGAGUAGCUGAGUAUUGUACGAGCUUAGUUACAAUAAUGAGAGAGUAAAAGCAGAUGAAUGGCGUACACGUGAGGAUAAAAAGAAGGAAUCGGUAAAAGGGCACUUGCUAUUACUUAAAGAGAAGUGCCAUUUUUUUAAAUCAAUGCUGUAGCGAUGUGUGCAGGAUCAUUGAUUAAAAUAACAGCAGAAAAACUGUCAAUUCAAUGAGGUAUUGGUGAGAUAAACAUAUUUAUGGUGCAUCACAUCGAUUGAAAAAUAAUAUCGAGUGGAUGAGAUCAAGUAACGUUUGAGACCAAUAGAAUGUUGCAUUGUCAAGAAUAAUUGGCGAUUGGUAACUGAAUAACUGUUUGUAAGAUAAAUUAAGUAGAAAGUGCAAGAAGCGUAAGCAGGAAUUAAUUCUAGAUCGGCCUGUCCUCAUUGGCCCAUGAAAUGAAAUGAAAUGAAAUGAAAUCGAUUCGAAGAGUAUACCGCUUUCUAACAAGGAAUUCUCUUAACGUGUAAAUGCAAAUAACCAGAAUGAUGUAUUGCGAUGUUUGUACCUCCUAGGAACGGAUACAAUAAAUAAUAAACAACA